UUUCAUGGAGUUUGUACUUCCAGCUUCAUGAGCAACUUAGUAGCCUGUGCAGUGGUGCCUCCUUUGAAAAUGACUAAUAUGGUCUAGUCUGGUGGCUCAUGUCUGUAAUAUUGGCACUUUAGGAGGCCAAGGUGGAUGGAUCACAAGGGCCCAAGUGUGCAGCACCUCUACCUGGAAUGUGAUGCUCAGGCAGUGAGAGGCAACAACACAGAGAGCUGGUCAGAAUCAAGGCUCCAUGAAGCCUCAUCUCAGACUUGUUGCAGUGUCACUUCCAUCCCUUGUCCAUUGGCAAAAAAACAGUUUCGCUCUUGUUACCCAGGCUGGAGUGCAAUGGCAAUCUCGGCUCACCGCAACCUCGGCUCACCACAACCUCCGCCUCCUGGGUUCAGGCAAUUCUCCUGCCUCAGCCUCCUGAGUAGCUGGGAUUACAGGCACGCGCCACCAUGUCCAGCUAAUUUUUUGUAUUUUUAGUAGAGACAGGGUUUCACCAUGUUGACCAGGGUUGUCUCGAUCUCUUGACCUCGUGAUCCACCCGCCUCGGCCUCCCGAAAUGCUGGGAUUACAGGCUUGAGCCACAGCACCCAACCCGCUCUUCUUCUUUUUUUAAAUCUCAAAGUGAGUUUAAUAAAAUACAAUCAAUAAAUGCA
rnacentral:lncRNA from 13 species